AACACUGAGCUCCCAAUCUCCCGUUAAUGACCGCGUGAAAUUUAUGACCUGAGCUCGUCUCGUCUCUCUAGUGUGAAAUGCGAUUCCGCGAAGCCGCGUCCACAGACCGGCUGUCGGACAGAUGUACAGGGCAGACACCCUCGAACUCACCGACAGGGAAUUCCCUGAAGCAUGCCCGCGUGUCGGUGAAUUGGGUGUUUUUUGCAUGCAAUCCAAUCUCCGUGGCAUCGCUGUUCCUGGCAUCUUCGAAGCUAGCUUGUGUGACCAGUCGCGUGCCAAGUUGGUGAUUGUGUGUGAAAGAAGUCUGGAAGUGAAGAAGUGCGGAAACGGGGUUCAUGCGUUUCUCAAAAUGGCACUGUAUCUGGUAUAUGAAAUGUGAUGGGAAGGGGUUUUCGGAAAAUUUCGUGUGUCCACUGAUAAUAAUCUCAUUCGUGCUUGGCAGUCUUCGCCCCGCUUUAGCUUCCAAGGCCUCCAUCUUCAUUGCUUAAUACAUGAGGGCUCCUGAAUGAGAUCUCUCGAUGCGUCGGAAGACCUUUUGUCGUCUUCUGGACAAAAUGGCUGCUGGGUGUAAUUGCGUUGACAGAAACUCCUGCUUUAAUUGUCUGCUCCAGUGUCUCACUCUGGACAAUCUACCUUAAGAUGAGCCACUCGCAGGCGCAGUACUAGUGAGAAUCUCCGAGGACAGGAUUUCACUUAGGGUUCGAUUUUAGGUUUGUGUUCGGUUGAUUGAAUGUUUUCUUUUUCAUAAAAUAAAUUUGAGGUUUUAUUUGUGAUUUAGUGUUGGGUGAGGACAAGCUAAUAUAAUUCCUUUGAUUAUCACAUCUGGGGUUGAAAUGAGCAGAUGAUUUUGUCAUUCAAGGUGUAUCUGUGGUGCAUCAAUUCCCUGUCGAGACAAUUCUGAAAGGAUUUGAUGAUUACAUGCAGUCGAGAAAUAGAAGGAAGGUCCCUGCUCGGUGAAUUUGAUGAAUCAGUCAAUUAGCUGUUUAUCAUUCUGUCUGAAAUCGGAUUUUAUGUCACGGCAUUCUUGUGCAUCAUAUCCCCAAUAAUUCUGAUUCGCAAGUACCAUGUAUGCUUACAGAAUCUAUGACUCGGCUAACUCUUUCACUGCGGUUUGCGAUCACAUGUUUGGGAUUUAGGCCAUUUUUCUUUUCCGUGUUUCAUACAACUUGAUGAUGUUAAAAUGGGAUCCUGGAAAAAUCCGGUACCUCAUAUAGGUAUGCGUGCAAUAGAAAUUGCAUAGACGUGAAGCUGCACAGGAGCUUCACCAAGUUGUGAGAGAUGGCAGUAGACACUGAAAUUUACGAGGAGAGUAUUGAUGACCAAUUUGAGAUGGAAAUAUGCUUGGACGCCGCAUCGCCCUACACUUCUUCUUUAUCGAGGUGCUCUUGAGGUGUAAACAAAACCUACCGGUUUUUCCUGGAGCAGUUUGUGCCGCCUUCGGUAACAGUUCCUCUCAGAAGUUCGAACCUGCUCCGGUUGUUUCAAUAGUCCACUAAUUCAUGUUCGCUCGCUUCUCAUUGACAGACUAUAUCAAAAUUUCUGUAUCUGUGUAAGUUUUUGGGCAAAAUACUCAUAAAGCUCGUCCUGUUGAUUUCUGGCGCUCAUUUCAAGGGGGUUUCACAUCGAGGAGAUUCAGCAAAUUUCGGAGUAACUCUCAAUUUUAUGCGAUGCCAGCGCAACCUAACAGCUGUCGCUAAAUCCAAGUUUGGUUCUUCGUUCUCCUGCUUCAGUGUAAACUACGUGAUUUGCGCAUCCGAAACUUUCGAGGAUUGAAACAUAAAGCCUCUGUAUGAAAAUCUAAUUCAACAUCAAAGAUGUUCAUCGGUUGGGUUUGGAGUCCUGGUGGCUCAGGGCUACGAUAUCUUUUUUUAAUUCUAGUGUUUCUCACUAUUUCUAACACAUCAUUUGUUAUGGUCAACCGAACCCACAUGGAAAAAAUUUACGGCAGUGCAGUCCAGUUCCGAACAAAUCUGACAUCAAAAAUGUACGGCUCCAGUGCUUUACACUUACGUGAUUCAUGAUCAGCAUUUGGUGUCGUGAGCCUUGUCUCAGGGACGCCAAGAACUUGCAGCCCAAUUCAUGGCCUUCUUUCGUACUUCUCCUUGAAGGGAAGUCCAACAUUGAGUUUGCAUAUUUGAUCCCAGCAUUUUUGCGAAAGUUUUUUCUGAGCACAGGGUUUCGCUGUAGACAAAGCCAAUCCGAUCUACUUGGGGUGAAAGCACCACGCUGCCGCUGAAGGUAUGCGAGCAGAGCUCUAUUGUCCGGAAUUGUUCUCCCCAAUAGGACAUACCUUCUUGGGAGUUCGUUGCGUAGAAUCUCAGGAUGCGCACCUACAUACGUGGCUGGAUCAGAUGAUGCUUUUGGAUAUAUUCGUCUAGCUUUUUCUAUUGAACAGACGACUGUUCGUGUGCUGCAUCGCUACAGCUGCACAUACCACUUUCUUUUCUGCAUUCUAGGGUUUGACCCAUUCUAUACAUCGCUUUUUCAUCGACUGUUGCAAGUGUCGGUUUGCUGCAAAUUCUCGGUCUAAGCAGUUUGGAUUGAAGAAUUCCAGGUAUGCUUGAGGAGUUUUCUGAUGAAGCAAGUUGUGUAGGACAGUGCAGGAAUGUGUCAAACGUGCAGAGUUUUCGUAGUUUCUUCCCGGAUUUUUCUCAGUUUGAAAACCCGAAACAAUUGGUUAUUGUGUUGCCAAGAAAGGAAAAGAGAAAAUCCUUGUAAUGUUCGUAGGGAAUUGAAAGCUAUGUGCACAUGAUUUGCUGCAGGAUUAGGGCUUCCUUGACGUGAAUUUGUGACUAGUUUUUUAGGGUUUAAGCCCGUGCGAAAUUGUGGGUGACUACGGCCAACUUUAUAUAUGUUCACAACGGAUUCAAUCACAUUUAUAUCAUGCAUUACGUUGCUUCUUUGAUAAGAAUGUUUAAAAUAGCAAGGUUGCUUUUCAAAACAAGCAACAGAAGCCUUUGGAAAUGGGUGAAUACAUAUUGGAGGUAAAACCUUUUUAGAAUGGUUAGUUUAGAAAUAAAUUAGUGAAUGAAAAUAUCAUUCUAUUUAUAAUUUCCAAUGCAAUUUAGAUUAUUUUUAAUAAUACAAAAAGAUGAUGAAAAAUUUUCAAGUGAUAUCUUGUAUACAAAAUAAAUAAAUAAAUAUCCAUAAUUAAAUAAAAAGUUAAAAGAAAACUGAAAUUUAGAUCAGGCUCACCAAUUGGAGAGCACUUAAAUAAAUAAACACUUUUGUUCAAUUGGUAUACAUAAUAUUAGUUGUUUUUGUAUGCAAAUAAUAAAUAUCGUGAUACAUGAUCAUUGAUCUUCUAAAUUCUACUCAAAAUGAUGAAUGUCUGUCGGAGUGAACAUCUGAACUUUGUCCCAACUAAUGCCACUACUACUUCUACUUGCCAUCCUGUACUUGUGUGCUGUGCUGAGUGACCCUUGACCAUCAAAAUCAAAAUGUGAUAAUACCCAAAAGCUAAAAGGAAGCACAACUUCACAUUUUCAUGUCCAAAUCUCAAACUUGGAGUCACUCUUCAAAGCUAACCAUACUUAUGGUUCAGCCAAAGCUUGGCUGUUCUUCAACUGGAACCCUCUCUUCUCUCAUGCUUUUCGAUGCUUCGAUAUGUGCACAUGAAGCAAUCUGCAACUCAGGAGGAGUCCCUUGCUUCUCUUUUGUUUGCUGAUCUUAGGUGUGUCAUCAAUGAGUCUAUGAGUUAAUCAUUCUGUGGACUAUGGAGUUGGAGAGACCAAUUUCUUGUGAUGGGAGAUGAUGAAGCCGGGGAUACACUUUUCUACAGGAGAGCGAGUUUACCUCUUUGACUGUGUCCUUCACAAUCGCUAUGAUGCGUCUGCUUCCACUGCAGACGCGGGAACUCACCAUGGAGUAGUUGCUUUGGCCUCGUCACGUAGCUUGGAGUUUUUGAAGUAUUGUAAAAGGUGGGGUUUCGCUGUCAUCAACAUGGCGGAAGGAAGUGGCAAUGAAGAAAAAGGAAAAAAAACAAACCACGUGUGAGCGACUCGAGGCUGUCGGCAUUGCGUUAUUUUGUGAAAGGGGUGAACAUGAAAAAUAAUAUCUGGUAGUUGGUCUGACCAGUUGAGGGUUGAUUUAUCCUCCUACCCUCUCCUUGCCUAGUUUGGAGUCUCCGAAUCUAGCUUUGGUUUAUGGUUUUCUAAAUUUAGCAAUAUUGAUGGUCUAGAAAGGAUACCUGAGUUUUCACUCGUUUGAAUGAGUUGGGCUUUUGACACCAUGAAUACACCGAUGAACAAUAAGAUUUAGCCUACGCCACCUAUGAAGAGAUAUUUACUAUCUAGGGCACGAAGGUCUACAAUCUCGAUGCUUAACUAGUACAUAUGCUGCCUAUAUUUUUUGCACAGCGUCUUGGAUCGAUUAUAGCACGCAUUUGGGCUUUGGUUCACUUCAUCGCAACAUCCGAGUUUUUGUGUCGUUGUUUCUGGCUAUUUUUGGGGAGUGAGGGGGGCCAUAAGUUUCGUAAGCUGCCUGGGCCGGUAAAUUAGUUCCGUUGAAGCUGUCAUGAAUAGUACCCGUUUCAUUCCGCUUCAUCUGUGCGUCAUUGUCACCUCCAAUAGAAUUCACGGCAAGAGGCGGGUUGUUCCAAGCUAUCAUCUGACAAGUAAAAAUUGGCUAGUUGUUUGUUUGUGUUUCUCAAGGUUUAGUUUUGUUUUACUUCAUUAGUGUCUCUUUCACAAAUACACUUGUAAUCCCUGGAAUAAUAACAAUUAUCCUGCGUCUAAACAUGAGCCUUCAACCUUAAACUGUGUCAUGACAUCACUUCUAAAGUGGGUUACUCUUGUGAGAAGCAAUUCGCAGAUUGGAGACAUGGCAAGUGAGGUUCUGUUGUCAUGGUCGUGGCUGGUUACAAUAUUGUUGAUUCUGGCAACAAUAUGCAUGGCAUUCAAGACUUUAAUUGGAGACACGCUGCAAUUUUGGCGUUGCGGCGGUCGCGCCUUUAUCCAGGAGUUGCUUGCCAGGUUUCAUGCUAUUCAUCUUCUAAAGGCACCAUCUCUCUCUAAGGCUAUUCAGAUAGGUACAUCAACUUGCAAGUCUUGGUGUGAUCACCACAAAUGCUUCUUGAGUACGGGCUGUAGUCUCCUUGUAGUUGCUCAAUCUUAGAUCUUGGGCGACAAUUUUCUUUCAGAUAUGGAGAUCCCUUUACCGCUUCAAUUAUGGGCUAAAAUAUGUUGUCAACUCAUCGGAAGCCGUCAAGUUUGUACUUUCCAAAUCCGAAGUUACGGGAUUCCCGGUAGGCCGAGCCAAAAGUGCCGCGCAACUUCUUAGUGAGAGUAAAUUUGUGACAUCUCAAAGCCUUGCCCACUU